UAGGGAAUAUUGCACAAUGGGCGAAAGCCUGAUGCAGCAACGCCGCGUGUAUGACGAAGGCCUUCGGGUUGUAAAAUACUUUUCUGAGAGACGAGCAAGGACGGUACCUCAGGAAUAAGGAUCGGCUAACUACGUGCCAGCAGCCGCGGUAAAACGUAGGAUCCUAGCGUUAUCCGAAUUUACUGGGCGUAAAGCGCGUGCAGGUGGUUUGGCAAGUUGGAUGUGAAAGCUCCUGGCUUAACUGGGAGAGGCCGUUCAAAACUACCAGACUAGAGGGCGGUAGAGGAAGGUGGAAUUCCCGGUGUAGUGGUGAAAUGCGUAGAUAUCGGGAGGAACACCAGUGGCGAAGGCGACCUUCUGGGCCGUCCCUGACACUGAGACGCGAAAGCUAGGGGAGCAAACGGG
rnacentral:rRNA from 1 species